CUUAAACUGUUGAAGGGGAAGUAAAAUCGCAAGACCAUCCUCUCAGAGAGUCGGGUAAGGUGGAAACUCGGCAGGUAAUGGCGCGAUAAAUGGGCCCCAGAGGGUGGAGCGAAAAAGUCAGCUUUAGUAGCGACCAACGCAGAGCCAGCGUUAUCGGGCUAAGGGUGUGUUGGCACUCUGCAUUGAGAAGAUGCAUUUGGAAUUAUGCAUCAACUAAGGUGGUACCGCAGAUUAACGUCUGUCCUUAAU
rnacentral:ncRNA from 1 species